rnacentral:lncRNA from 1 species
GUCUAUGCGGUCGCAUAGACCAAACCGUAUAUUAUUAUUAUUAUUUUUUUUAAAGAAAUAAAAUAGAAUAAAAUAAAAAGAGUGCCAUUUUUGUCAAAUAUUUUUUUUAUAAAUGCCUAAAAACCCGCAUUCUGAAAACUUAACCGAAACGAACAUCUUCGCACCUCGGAAUGCGUGACACACACUCGAACACCCAAACACUUCAUUUAGCACCCGUUCAUGCAACAUUAAACGUGUAGUGCCUAGGCUAUCAUGCAAAAUAUGAUCGAUGACCUAAGAAACAAACUAAAACCAAACAAAUUCCUAAACUAAUGCAAUGCAAUAAAAUAAAAUAAAGGAUACAGUGGGUUGCCUCCCACUCAGCGCUAUGUUAUAGUCGAUAGCUCGACUUUA